rnacentral:rRNA from 1 species
CAAGGAAUUUUCGGCAAUGGGCGCAAGCCUGACCGAGCAACGCCGCGUGGAGGACGACGGCCUUCGGGUUGUAAACUCCUUUUGCGGGGGACGAUUGUGACUGUACCCCGCGAAUCAGGCUCGGCUAACUCUGUGCCAGCAGCCGCGGUAAGACAGAGGAGCCAAGCGUUGUCCGGAUUGACUGGGCGUAAAGCGCACGCAGGCGGCUGGGCACGUGGGGUGUGAAACCUGGCGGCUUAACUGCCAGACGCCAUCCCAUACGGCCCGGCUCGAGGCAGGCAGAGGUUCGUGGAAUUGCCGGUGUAGUGGUGAAAUGCGUAGAGAUCGGCAGGAACACCAAGGGCGAAAGCAGCGAACUGGGCCUGUUCUGACGCUCAGGUGCGAAAGCGUGGGGAGCGAACC